AUGAAUACAAUAGUUUACGACAAUGCCUAUAUGAUUCACAAAUACAAUAAUAAAGUAAUAACAAUUAAAUAGCGUGUAAAGAAUUAAAAGUUUCAUAAUUUAUUCCCCCUUUCAGUGUGUCCACCUUGGCCACCAGGGGGCAGUAUAACGCAGUCAUACUACAUAUACAUGAAAGAGACAAUCCCAACUGCUCAGAAAGUUGGGAUUCACUGAUCUAAAAAAAAAAUAAUUGAAAAAAAGAAAGCCAGAAUAGCUCAUUGGCCAUGAAAGCUUCUGUCGCCAAAAGCAGAUAUCCGCCAUCUUGAUACUCCCAAAACAACCAAGCCACCUGUGCAGCGACAGUUUGGUGCCUGCGAGAAAACAUUCCACAGGUAAGUUAGAAAGAUUUACUUUGACACUGUUAAAGUUUGUUUGUAAAGGUUUUUUUAAAUUUUCUGAUGAGCUUAAUUCACCUGAACAAAGUUUUGUUUACAGUUGUUGUCGUUCACUUUUCACUCUCUGCUUCACCUUUAUAGGCCAACGGUUUUUCACGAAAAAGCGAUGUAAAUAAUUUCCCAAACGUCAUUAGGGGAUAAGCAAUAAAACACAUUUUCUGUGAAAUUUUUUGAUGAAUUUCAUAAUACAGAACUCUGCGAAUUGUAUUUGAUUUUUAAAUGCGGGGAAACAAGUUUAAAUUUUGUGUCUGAAAUGGGACGUCGCAGAGACAACAAAUGAACAAUACGUUUAGCAUGUAUUUUCCCAUUGUGUGUCCUUAUUUCCCAAAAUAUAUCUAACUGGUUGAUUUAAAAUGUAAUGUUUUUAUGACAAAAAAAUACUUAUUGUUUUGCUAUGUUAUGAUGAUAGUGCUUCACAGCGUAUUUUGGUAAAAGUGAACAUGUCACGGAAAUCGGGGCCUGGGUAAUAUGCAAGGUUUCUUGGUAGUCACGGUGUUAUAUGUCUUUCCUUUCCACUUAGCCUUUUUUCGCUUACCAAGUCGAAUUAAAAAUCCUUCAUGUUACCAGAACUGACAAAAUCUCAAAGCUCACACGGCCAGUUUUAAUUCUACACCCCAAAUUUAAGAAAAACUCCCACAUAAUCCAAUCCGUGAACCAUGUCUCCCGCACGUUUUGGGAGUACCAAGAUGGCGGCCAACUCGCUUCAACCAAUCGGCACAUCGCUAGAUAUUUAUGCGCGCUCCAGUCUUUUUUUUUUUUUUUUAGAUCAGUUGUUUUCCACAAAGAUGAACAAAUAUACGCCCGAAAAGAGAGCGGCGGGCAGAUGGCCCGUGAGCGACACGUCGCAGUAUAGACGGAGAAAGAUGCUACUCUGCACGGAGGGAAACAGAUAAAACGCUGAAAAGAGAGAGAGAGAGGAGAGGGGGAAAAAAAGGUUACUCUGUUCUCUGGUUCUGGGAGCUCCAGAGCGGUCGCAGGUGCUGGGUCGGCUUACUCGGUCGGCCUUGGGCCGGCUCCUGAUGCCCUGCCAUUCAUCAGAUAUGAAUCCCCUCGCUACCCAAAUGCAUCACCCCCUCCCCCCUCCCCCUUCUUACUCUUAUUCUUCACGCUCUGUCACUUCCUCGACAUCCACCUCCGUAGCACUUCAGGUUCACACGCAGCUGCAGGGUCCACACGCUCACAGGCUAGUCGCCGCCCCUCAACCCUCUGCCACGACCCACCCCCACACCUGAGCUCACUCACCCUGACAA